ensembl:lncRNA
AUGGGGGAAAAAGCAAGGAGAGUACAAUUGAAAAGUGCAUUUCACAUAGAAAAGAAGCAGAAACUCUGCUUGUUUAUCACCACUUUGGAAAUAAACCUAAAAGCACAAGAACAAAACUAUCACUCAGCAUUUGGUUCAGCAGUGAGUGCUCUGGAAGGACAGGAGAUGGUCUCAUUGCAAAGCAGCAGAAGUAUGGAACAGGAUUUAGAAGAUGUAGAGCAUGGAAGUACAAGGGAGUCUGAAGGGGCAGUAAACAGUGUUGAAAUGGAGACCUUGAAUCUCAGAAUAAAACAGCUGGAAAAGUCAGAGCAAAAACUGAAAGACAUUUUAGAGGACUACACAAAGUCAAAUUCUGUACUAGGAGACAGAGCAAAGGAGCUGGAACGGUCACAGAAGAAACUUUUUGAAACAGUUGACCAAUUGAAUGCAAAGCUACAGCAGGUAGAAAAUGCAAACCUACGUGUUAAAGGGAAGCUCCGAAACGUUCAGGUGGAACUGACAGAUUUGGUUCAAAAACAAGAAAAGGCAGAAAGAAAACAAAAAGAAAAGCUAUGGCGACUUCAGGGCCAGUUGAAGACAAAAGAGGAUGAAGUAAAGAGUCAGUCAGCAUAUUUUGAGCACUACAAACAAAAGCAGAAGCAGAAGACAGCAGUGUUGAGAGAACAGGAGUUGUCCCUUCGGGGUCAUGUGUCCAGGCUGGAAAAGGAAGUCCUAGAUCUCAAUGCCACUACAGCUUUUCUGUUCUCUGAGCUAGGAGAGGGAACUGUACAAUAUCUCCGAUGCAAACUGGAAGCAGUAUUCAGUGGAAUUCAGGGAUCUUUGCACUUUAAUAUGAAUAUAACUAAAAUAAAAACUCUCAUUGAAGAUGUGGAUCAUUACAUGAAAAGCCACCUACGGACACUGCAGCAAAAUCUAAAGAGGUUACAGGAAAAAGAAGAAGGUAAUAUUAGAGAACAAGCAGACCUACUAACUAAACUUCAGCACUCCCAGGACAACGAAGACUUCCUGACAAGGAAAUUUGAGGAAUCUUGCUGUCGUGUUUAUGAGCUGAAAUUGUCUGAGAUUGGCCUUCAGGAGCAAGUGGAGGAACUUAUAGAAGAAAACAGCACUUUAAAGGACAAACUGGGAGCAAAGUUACCAAAAGAAGCAGAAAAGGAGCUAUUGCCUGCAGGAAUGGAAAAUGGAGAAAAUAAAGCUGGUGAGCAGCUAAAUCUGAAGAAGGAGGCAGUCUUGGAUCCAGUCAGAAACAAAGCUCGUCAAACUCCAUCUUUUCUACAACAUACCAAACAGUCUCAUACAACAGCAAAGAUAGCAUCAGAAUGUGGCUAUGGCUGGCUUAAUAAUGUGGAAGGGUUGCCAAAGGAACUUCUCAUACCAUUUUUAGGGCACAGCUCCAGUGCCUUGGUGGAAAUUGCUGAAGAACCCAGGCUAGCUGACGCUGAACAGGUCAUACUUGGGGCACAAAGAUCAGCUGGUGCUUCUCUGUUGUUUGGAUGUCCUCCAAGACAGCUUAAAAACAGACAGCUAAUCUUAUCUUGCUCUGAGAGGCUAAGCAAUGAUGAGAGAAGUAAGCGGACCAAAGAAAAAGAAUAUUUCUUUCUCUUAAAGGAACAAUCUAUAAAUCGACCAGCUAAUCCUUCGCCUGUCUUCAUGGUUGCCACUUUGAUUGAGCCUCAGUUUGUCUUGCUAGAACCUGAAAUCCACCGAGUCUUAUGUGUCAGAUCAGAAUCUGUUUUCUCAGUGAACAAAAUACUGAAUUUGAAUUAUAACCAGACAUAUCACAAUAACUUUUGUCUUUCUAAUGGUGUCUUGCAUGUUGUGAAAGGAGUUUCUUCUGGUAAAGAUUCUGAAGUUCUAAACGAAAAGGUUGCAAACACUGAGACUGAAAUUUUCAAACUCCAGGUUGAAAAAGAUUAUAUGGAAAAAUGUUUGCAAAAUAAAAAAGCUAUGCAGAAAAGCACAGAUGAAAAGAAAAACUCAAAUAAAGAAAUAAAUGAUGGAAAAAAUCAAAGUAGAAAUGGUCCAGAGAAAUCUCAGCGAGAAGAAAAAAGGGAUGAGAAAGCACAAAUCAGAACAAUAACUUGCAUUUCUGAAAAAGCCAACAAAGAUGCACAUGAUGAAACUGUGGAGCAAAAAGCAGAACCAACAUUUCAUACAGCAAGCAUUCCAGGUGACCAAAACAUGUCUGUCCUACACAAGGAAUUAGAAGGAUAUCCCCAAGAGAACUCUGAACUUAAGAAUGAACAUGGAAAACAUUUAGCAAUCUGUACCUUUGAUGAAGUGAACAGAAGAUGCCUAGAAA